GAUGAAGAACGUAGCGAAAUGCGAUAAGUAAUGUGAAUUGCAGAAUUCAGUGAAUCAUCGAAUCUUUGAACGCACAUUGCGCCCUCUGGUAUUCCGGGGGGCAUGCCUGUUCGAGCGUCAUUAUAACCACUCAAGCUCUCGCUUGGUAUUGGAGUUCGCGAUCUCGCGGCUCCUAAAAUCAGUGGCGGUGCCUGUCGGCUCUACGCGUAGCAAUACUCCUCGCGAUUGAGUCCGGUAGGUUUACUUGCCAGCAACCCCCAAUUUUUACAGGUUGACCUCGGAUCAGGUAGGGAUACCCGCUGAACUUAAGCAUAUCAAUAAGCGGAGGA
rnacentral:misc_RNA from 1 species